CUAACGCUAGCGGGAGGCCUAACACAUGCAAGCCGAGCGGUAUUGUUUCUUUCGGAAAUGAGAGAGCGGCGUACGGGUGCGGAACACGUGUGCAACCUGCCUUUAUCUGGGGGAUAGCCUUUCGAAAGGAAGAUUAAUACUCCAUAAUAUAUUGAACGGCAUCGUUUAAUAUUGAAAGCUCCGGCGGAUAGAGAUGGGCACGCGCAAGAUUAGCUAGUUGGUGAGGUAACGGCUCACCAAGGCGAUGAUCUUUAGGGGGCCUGAGAGGGUGAUCCCCCACACUGGUACUGAGACACGGACCAGACUCCUACGGGAGGCAGCAGUGAGGAAUAUUGGUCAAUGGGUGCAAGCCUGAACCAGCCAUCCCGCGUGAAGGACGACUGCCCUAUGGGUUGUAAACUUCUUUUGUAUAGGGAUAAACCUACCCUCGUGAGGGUAGCUGAAGGUACUAUACGAAUAAGUACCGAGNCACU
rnacentral:rRNA from 1 species